UUUUGGCCUCAGAUAUAAGAAGCAGUGCCAAAUCAGGGGUUGGUGAACUCUCAUGCUUUCUUUCCUUAAAGUAUUUUUACAUGUUCGGACAUUGCUUUGCAUGGGGUGUGAUGGCCCACUGUUUCCGCAAGACCAUACCAUUUCUGGAUGGAUCGGCCUGCUUGGAGCUCCAGUGUCUCACAGCCUCAGAGGGAACCUUUAUCUGAGUUGCUGAGCAAACUCUGGGUACACCAAUGAAGGCUUGCUAAGGAGACUCUGGCAAGAGCUACCGACGUGCUCUUCUGCUCCUGAGGUUCAGAUGUAGCCAGUGCAAGCAAACACUGAAUCUAAGAAGUUCCAUGUCAAGAACGUGGGGGGCCCCCUCUGUCGUUUGGAAUGAAUAACUUGCACCCCUUUUAUGAGUUGGGGUUCCACAAGGAGGACAGCUGUACGGGCUGGAGUCUAGGCUCAUUUUGAUUCUUUCCAGUAUAUAACUGAGCCUGGUUUUCUUCACCCGUGAGAUGGAGUAGGCACAAUACAGAGCUUCAGAGACCUGGAUCAGACACCCUAUGGAGUUAAAGCUUCAAGAGUUAGAGGGACACAUAGGUGUGUGCCACCCUCAACCAACAGCCCCCCACUGUAGGGGUACACUGUAGUCUUCUGCCUCACACAGUUGUUGAUCUCUUGUCUGCUGACCACAAGAAGACUUCCAGUUUACACUCUUAGCUUAUGCUUCCGAGGGUGAUCUUUCUUCAGGCUUCAGUCAAUGUCAAUAUUAUGGAUUCUAUCAUGGCCUGGCCCAGGCUCUGUCUUCACACUGUACCCACCCUGCCCACCACGGACCAGCAGGUGGUCCUCUGCCUUCCAGGGCCUUGUACUCUCAGGUACCUCA
rnacentral:lncRNA from 1 species